AGAGUUUGAUCCUGGCUCAGGAUGAACGCUAGCUACAGGCUUAACACAUGCAAGUCGAGGGGCAGCAUGAACUUAGCUUGCUAAGUUUGAUGGCGACCGGCGCACGGGUGAGUAACACGUAUCCAACCUGCCGUCUACUCUUGGACAGCCUUCUGAAAGGAAGAUUAAUACAAGAUGGCAUCAUGAGUCCGCAUGUUCACAUGAUUAAAGGUAUUCCGGUAGACGAUGGGGAUGCGUUCCAUUAGGUUGUUGGCGGGGUAACGGCCCACCAAGCCUUCGAUGGAUAGGGGUUCUGAGAGGAAGGUCCCCCACAUUGGAACUGAGACACGGUCCAAACUCCUACGGGAGGCAGCAGUGAGGAAUAUUGGUCAAUGGACGAGAGUCUGAACCAGCCAAGUAGCGUGAAGGAUGACUGCCCUAUGGGUUGUAAACUUCUUUUAUACGGGAAUAAAGUGAGGCACGUGUGCCUUUUUGUAUGUACCGUAUGAAUAAGGAUCGGCUAACUCCGUGCCAGCAGCCGCGGUAAUACGGAGGAUCCGAGCGUUAUCCGGAUUUAUUGGGUUUAAAGGGAGCGUAGGCGGACGCUUAAGUCAGUUGUGAAAGUUUGCGGCUCAACCGUAAAAUUGCAGUUGAUACUGGAUAUCUUGAGUGCAGUUGAGGCAGGCGGAAUUCGUGGUGUAGCGGUGAAAUGCUUAGAUAUCACGAAGAACUCCGAUUGCGAAGGCAGCUUGCUGGACUGUAACUGACGCUGAUGCUCGAAAGUGUGGGUAUCAAACAGGAUUAGAUACCCUGGUAGUCCACACAGUAAACGAUGAAUACUCGCUGUUUGCGAUAUACAGUAAGCGGCCAAGCGAAAGCGUUAAGUAUUCCACCUGGGGAGUACGCCGGCAACGGUGAAACUCAAAGGAAUUGACGGGGGCCCGCACAAGCGGAGGAACAUGUGGUUUAAUUCGAUGAUACGCGAGGAACCUUACCCGGGCUUAAAUUGCAGAUGAAUUACGGUGAAAGCCGUAAGCCGCAAGGCAUCUGUGAAGGUGCUGCAUGGUUGUCGUCAGCUCGUGCCGUGAGGUGUCGGCUUAAGUGCCAUAACGAGCGCAACCCUUAUCGAUAGUUACCAUCAGGUUAUGCUGGGGACUCUGUCGAGACUGCCGUCGUAAGAUGUGAGGAAGGUGGGGAUGACGUCAAAUCAGCACGGCCCUUACGUCCGGGGCUACACACGUGUUACAAUGGUAGGUACAGAGGGUAGCUACCCAGCGAUGGGAU
rnacentral:rRNA from 1 species